rnacentral:rRNA from 1 species
CGUGCGGUUCUAUUUUGUUGGUUUCUAGAGUCGCCGUAAUGAUUAAUAGGGACAGUUGGGGGCAUUGGUAUUCAGGCGCUAGAGGUGAAAUUCUUGGAUCGUCGCAAGACGAGCUACUGCGAAAGCAUUUGCCAAGAAUGUUUUCAUCAAUCAAGAACGAAAGUCUGAGGUUCGAAGGCGAUCAGAUACCGCCCUAGUUCAGACCGUAAACGAUGCCAACUAGCGAUCCGAGGGCGUUAAUUUAUGACUCCUCGGGCAGCUUCCGGGAAACCAAAGUUUUUGGGUUCCGGGGGAAGUAUGGUUGCAAAGCUGAAACUUAAAGGAAUUGACGGAAGGGCACCACCAGGAGUGGAGCCUGCGGCUUAAUUUGACUCAACACGG